rnacentral:rRNA from 1 species
AGGGUUUGAUCAUGGCUCAGAACGAACGCUGGCGGCGUGGAUUAGGCAUGCAAGUCGAACGGUAGUCUAGCUUUUUCGGACUAUAGUGGCGAAAGGGUGAGUAACACGUGAGUAACCUGCCUUCGGGAUCGGGAUAACCUGUCGAAAGACGGGCUAAUACCGGAUGUGUCCUUAUAUCUUCGGAUAUAAGGGGAAAUGAUGGGGAUUCCUUCGGGAACCUGUCGCCCUUAGAUGGGCUCGCGGCCUAUCAGCUAGUUGGUGAGGUAACGGCUCACCAAGGCUAAGACGGGUAGCUGGUCUGAGAGGAUGGUCAGCCACACUGGGACUGAGACACUGCCCAGACUCCUACGGGAGGCUGCAGUCGAGAAUCUUUCGCAAUGGGGGAAACCCUGACGAAGCGACGCCGCGUGCAGGAUUAAGGCCUUCGGGUUGUAAACUGCUGUCGGCUGGGAAGAAACAGCGAGCAAUUAAUAGUUGCACGCUUUGACGGUACCAGCAAAGGAAGCCACGGCUAACUCUGUGCCAGCAGCCGCGGUAAUACAGAGGUGGCAAGCGUUGUUCGGAUUUAUUGGGCGUAAAGGGUCCGUAGGCGGUUUGGAAAGUCGGAUGUGAAAUCCCACAGCUCAACUGUGGAACUGCAUUCGAAACUCCCAGACUUGAGUGUGAGAGGGGUAAAGAGAAUUCCUGGUGUAAGGGUGAAAUCUGCAGAGAUCAGGAAGAAUACCAGUCGCGAAGGCGCUUUACUGGCUCACAACUGACGCUGAGGGACGAAAGCUAGGGGAGCAAACGGGAUUAGAUACCCCGGUAGUCCUAGCCGUAAACUAUGAUCACUAGGUGUUGGGAGGGUUAAACCUUUCGGUGCCGCAGCUAACGCAUUAAGUGAUCCGCCUGGGGAGUACGGUCGCAAGGCUGAAACUCAAAGGGAAUUGACGGGGACCCGCACAAACGGUG